GGAGAAAAUGAUACUUACUGCCUUCACACGGCAGGGGUCACAGGUUCGAGCCCUGUAUCGCCCACCA
rnacentral:tRNA from 1 species